CGUCUGCUAUAAUUGUUCUUAACCUAGCAAGGUUACUGAUAGAGAAAAAAAUCAGCAAGAUCUUUUGUUCCUCUUGUUAGAGCAUCUAACAUGGCAAUGCAUCAGCGUUCGGUCUUUACCCCACCCCCCUUUUUGCACAUCUAUCAGUCGCCACGAAAUGCAAAAACUACGAACGUAAUGGUGCUAGUUGAAUGGUCGUACACUGUGGGCUACUAUGGUCCUAUUAGUUUUGCUGGCCUACUCGUCCUCCUGGAGUGCUGUUACUGACGUUAACCAACUUGAUAGUUACUUGUAAAAAAAAGUUCCAGCCUAGCGGAAGUAAAGGGCUGGAUGAGACGCACAAAACGUACGUCAAUGUCGCGACGGCAUUGCAAUAGCCAACCAGAAUCCUCUAACUAAUGUACCAUGCCAGACCAAAUAUGUUGUUCACGUUCAAACAUCGCUUGCGAAUACUUGAUUGAUUGCCAUAACCCACCAAUUAAUUAGGAAAGCGUCUUUAGUUGUUUAGUUAUAGGAAUCUUUUUUCCUAUACAAAAGAGAAAGAAGUACGAGAAAAGAUUUGUCAAACGUGUGCAUUCUGCGCAAGAUGUGGAAAAAACUUUUAUAGUUGGCACAGAUUUGGAUUUUUAAGAAUAUAUCGAAAUGUAUUUACUUGUUCUUCCCUAUGAGGUCAAAUACGAUGUUUUCUUCAGAAAGCGAUUAGGUAUUUUUAAAGGAUAUCAAUAUUCUAUGUAGAAAUAUCUGAGUCAGAAUAACCGAGUGAUCGAAAUAACGUAACGGAGCGGCAUAAACAAUUCAGAGCUUUAAUUGAACGGCUGAUGGAUGAACCAAAACAAGGAAACCCUAAAGGGGAUCACAUAACGAUAGCUGCGACGCUCUGAAAGGAAUAAUGCAGUAGGACGGUAAAAUGACUGGUAUCGCGUGUGUUUUCAAAACACAGGUUCAAGCCAAACGGAAGGGACCGUGACGAGUGUACUUAUCUACUUUCAUCUUACCACUACAGAUCGAACCUUCUACAGCUGAGCACAUUGUACAUAUAUUAUAAUAUGUACGACAGAUUCAUUACCCUUCAAUCCGUACUGUACUUAUGUACAUGCCUUCGCCAAUAGCAAGAACUACGGAGCAACUGGAUUCUCCAGAACGAAAGCGGCAUUGUAAGCUUUGAACGAGUUGCAUAAUUCGCCGUAGCAGCACCAUCGAGAGCCUUAACGUAAAAUAAACGCGUCCGAAAGUUACUGUAAGGUGUUUGAAAAGAAGUUACCAUUUUAGAGAAACGCAUACUGCUUCGGAUAUUAGUGAAAAGUGCGGAUUGAUAGAAAAAUUGUCUGACACGCUCGUUUUCUGAAACAGAGUCGAGUCGAUCUUGGAAUUACAGAUUCGGAGAUGGCUGCGUGAGCCCAAUGCGCUCCUCUUUACACCAGAUACGAUGCGACAGCAGUCUUCCGCUGAAUCUUAAUUAGUCGGCUAGUAGCUAUUUUGUUUCUUAGAAUUUUUACGGUAUGUUUUAUUUCUGCAUUCACUUGCCUACCAAAUCAGAGAACAUCAUUUUACAUGUCUUGCGAUAUCUUAGGCACAAGGCCAGUAAGUCGGAAAACCCCAAACAUAAACGUGCAGAUAACGUCAGUGUAUCGAACCCGCGAUUCAUCCUCGCCUGAUGCAUCCCAUUGAGAUUUGUGCACCUAUUCUUGCUUAGAAGGCCGAACUAGUACUGACUAUCACUCAGAUCGAAUGCCAGUAACCUGAAGCCUACUUCUGUGUUUGUCUAUACAUUCUUUUGUUCGCAGAAUCGACUGACCGGUUCCUGUCUGCCGGAACACCUCGUGUAUUCGGAUUGAAUCAGACAGUGCAUAAAAUGUUUCUCAUCACAGGCAGAAAAACACAUAGACAAAGCCACGCUUAACCACAAAUCUUCUUACGCGUGGCCCGUGGCCGGAAUGCGCUCGACUUGCCUCUGCUUCUGUGAGAGGGCAAGGAAGUCACUUGUGUUUGGCCCAGUUUGCUGGACCUUAAUUAACUGUUGCGAGAAAUAAGCCACUCAGUGGAGCAAUACUCUUCGUAACAAUUUGUAUCAGUGCUCGUGCGGUCCACAAACUAGUUACCGAUGCUGAUUGCAUAACGGUGCGAACCCAUUGUUCAAGUUCGUUGAAUACACGCGACCUCUCUGCGCAUCGCUUGAUAUGCCGUAUGCAUUACUUACGGAAGCUGAAAAAUUUUGUAAGCAGGAGUGAAAACCCAACACGUUAUGCUAGCAGCCUGUGUGCAGUGUUGCUAGUUGCUCGAAUGGCAGUUCGAUUCAAGCGCACGUGUCUAAGAGAGGGUUGGCUGCGAGUAAAUUUAGAUUGUUUCCCCCGUAUAUUUUAUAGUGGCAGUUCCAGCGAUAUUCAAUGUUAGCCCAUUACACGUUAGAGGUAUAUAUCGUUGGGAUGAUCGAAACGUUGUGUAUGUAUGUUGAUACUUCGUUCUAUGCUCAUAUCAUAAUUUAGUUUAUGUACCCGUAUUUUAAUAACCUAAGCCUAUAGUAAUUUUCUUCUUCAACUUUACGGAACAUUUUUCGCUUUCACUGUGCAUAUCUCUAAUAAGGCGAUGCAUAUCUUCAGCAUUCUUCUGACCGGUUCCACCUCAUUCAUUACCCUGCAGCUAUGGCACCCUCCGUGAAGGCACCCGUCCCAUGCUCUUAUACCUACACGUUCAUAUUAAUUAACAGGCGUGCCUGUCCUUCCUCGCUUUCUCUUUCUCAACCUCGUCGUUGCCAAUGGCUGGCCGUCCUUUAGAACCUGUGAUAUGCGACACCAAAGGGCCAAUAACAUGCUGUGAGUGUGCCAGCCUGCUGGUCCUGAUUCUACCAUCAUCGACUACGGAAGCAGGAGCUAAAGCCGUGAGCGAUUCCUUCCUGCAAAAUAAUCUCACUGAUGACACAACCUCCCGUCCCGACACCCCUUAGCCGAGCCACCUUGUCCUCUUCUGUGUUUGUUGCAGAUUAAGUUCAGGAUAGCGGUAUCGAGCCAAAAUAGUGUCUACGGAGUUUGACUCGAUUCUUUUGCAACAUGUCUGUUGGAGCUUCUUGGAAAAACCCCCGAGACAACUGUACACAAGAAAUACCUACGUGUUGUGGUAUCCUAUGCAAUACAUACGUUUACGCAGACGUUAAAGUUCUUUAAAACAACGGCGUUUCAUUAGAAGGGCUGAUCAUUUUUUGAACGUAUAACCCUUGAAGAUACAUUAUAUACAUAUAUGAUUUAUUCCGUACAGACUCUACAACUACAUUCUUCGACGAGCAGAACGAAAAUUAAUAUAAUUAUAGGACAGCUAUUGAGUUCGUAUUCUGUAGUAGAAUCUGUGUGUGUGUGAUUUUCGCAUUUCUGUAGUUAAUUCUGGUUAGCAGGUCUUUCUGCAGUGUUUUUCUAUAUAAAUCAUCUUAGAACAUCAAGUUAUAUUCGUCAGAUCUAAUGCCCUUCCGGCUACAUCGUGAAUGUGUUUAAACGGCUUUCCGGUAAGCCUGAAGACUGUUAAAUUGUGUUUUUUUCUCGUCUAUAUUCAUAAGGCUUUUUUUAACUAAAGCCGUCUUACCGCUACGUUGCGGUACUGUGUUACAAUAUUUUAAUCCUAAGUCUGUGUUAUGUUUCCCCCAGUUGAGUUACAUUUGGAGAUCACUGUAACUUUGGCUUUCAUUUUCGAUCGCUAAAGCCUAAUCAUCGGCGCUAAAUGUCGUGAAGCGAGUGCAUAGUUUGAGCUUUGACCGUUGUAGCGUAAUCGAUUUUCCCUUAUUAUUUUAGCGUCUCCGAACUGUUUGGUCAGGGUUUUUCUCUGACCGAUCGUUAUCAACACCAUAUAGAAAACGAGCUAGGCACUUGUUGGGGUCAUUUACGGUUUGCGGUUGCUGAGGCGCAUGAAUUUUCCUAACUUUGAAUACCUCAAGGUCAUUUGCAAAAAGAGAGCACAAAAUUAUUUAGCUAACAUUUUUAUCAUUUGUUCAUCACCGGACAUGCUAGUAUUUAGGCAGGGCACUCAUUAUUUUACAAUACUUCUAUUGCGAUGGUCCCAAAUGAACGCCUUCACAUCUCGCUUUUCAGCAACGACCUUAAAUUCCGCAAGACUAGAGAAAGUUUGGUUAUACGACCCUGUAGAGAAUCCCAUCUCCGUGUCAAUUCUCUAUGCGCUGUCUGAAGUAUUCCUUCAGUGAUGAGAUCCGCACGUCCACAUGCUUUUUUUUUGAUACCAAAAAUCUACGCUUGUUGUUGAUUUACGUUGACCUUCGUUUUUAUUUAUUCUACCUAUUUCGCCCCGUCCAUUUUUUUUUUCGUGUCAUUAGUCAUUUGAAAAUUCGGUGCUUCUUUAUGUAAUUAGGUUCUUAAAAGAAAGUUGCACUGAGCCUUUGGCGAUGUUGUACCGCGGAAUGAUAGCGGAUGCAUGCUUUAAUACGGUCAGUGGAGGUGCCAUCCUUGCUUGUCUCCGUAGCGUGCUCGGAACAAAUCAUUCACUGAGUUUCAUUUUAGUCACUAAGACGAUAUAGGAUGCAUAAGCCCGCUUACGAAUUUAUUGUGAGCUGAAAAAGCUAACUUAAAUCUAAUUUGUAAGUAUAACUCUAAUCUACUAUUAUACGCAUAAUGUGUACACUGAUAUCAAGUGGGUAGAUAAAUUAGUUGCGCUUUUUGAGGUCCGGAACUUGCGAUAUGUGCAAUAGAGCAUAAUUCAACGAAAUCAUAUAAAUUAUGUAAAUAAAUAAUACUAUUCUGAUCAUAAAUCAGUACUCUGUCGUAGAUAUAUUAAAUGUGAAGUUUUUUUUUUUCAAUCAAACCCUUUCCUAUAUCUGACA